CUCUCACAUGCAAACAACAGGUACUAUAACUGUAGUCAUGUUCAAUAAUUAUCUUGGUAAAUUCUUCAUUGGGAUCAUGCUUCUUCAUUUGGGUAUGAAAACUAAAGAAAUACUCCAUGACAUAGCGCACGUUGCACGGAUAGUCUUAUUCACGGCACUCACUGUGGUCUGCAUGGUUCUGUUUGGGUGUUGGGCACUGAGGGAUAAAGGUAAAACCUGUAGUGCCCCUGUCCCACCACUGGAGAGCACUGCCUUGCAGGCUGUAUGUGGAACUCCUGAAGACAAUCCAGCUAACAUUGAGAGGGCAGUAGAAACUGACUUGCCCACUGGCAUUGAUGAGGAUUAUGUGAAUG